GUAAAAGAUGGCAACUAUUAAUUUCCAUUGAGUUAUAUAUUUAGUUAUUUACAAGGAAAUACAGAAUAUUACAACAAAAAAAGUAUAAAAAAAAAUUGAUAUACAGCUCGAGAGAAGAAUUGAAAACAGCUAAAUCAGGAAGAACUAGAAUAAGAACAAAUAAACGAACACAUCCAAAGCUUAGCUUCUGUAGUUAUAAUUGCUAGCAAAAAAGCUAACUAUCAAUCUCUCCUUUUGCAGGCAGGCAGUGCUAUCGGUCUAAAGCAGAAAGAAAAGGAGUUUGGCCCCUUUUCGGAGUUUUACAGUUCUCAUCUGUUCUUGAGUUUAUUGGUGAUCUUUGAGGCAUUAGCUCAGACAACCUAGCUCUUUCGUUGGUAAUUCUGUUCUGUAAUAGAGUUUGAAACUUCGUUAAUUCUGAGCUAUAUGUAAUAGAAACAAGAGCAUUCUCUUUGCAGUGACAGUGUUUACCUUAAAGGUCAAAUCUUGGCAUUCUCUUUCCAGCGAAGCAAGUCUAUUUUUCAUCUGCUCAAGUGCCUCCUCAGCAACCGCAGGGCUUAUAUUGGACACAGGUUUUGCUAUUCCUGCUGCCUGAUGUUUCAAUAGAGUGACAA
rnacentral:misc_RNA from 1 species